rnacentral:rRNA from 1 species
CCCUUAGAUGUCCUGGGCCGCACGCGCGUUACACUGAUGCAUUCAACGAGCUUAUAACCUUGGCCGAGAGGCCUGCGCAAUCUUGUUAACGUGCAUCGUGAUAGGGAUAGAUUAUUGAAAUUAUUAAUCUUGAACGAGGAAUUCCUAGUAAACGCAGAUCAUCAAUCUGCAUUGAUUACGUCCCUGCCCUUUGUACACACCGCCCGUCGCACCUACCGAUUGGAUGGUCCGGUGAAGCCUCGGGAUUGUGGUUCUUGCCGCUUUAUUGUGGCGUGACCGCGAGAACUUGUCUAAACCUUAUCAUCUAGAGGAAGGUGAAGUCGUAACA